GUUGUGUUGUGUGUGGAUGGUGUUCAGCACCAAGGACAGGUUUUGUUUUGUGUGGAUGGUGUUCAGUACCAAGAACAGGUUUUGUU
rnacentral:pre_miRNA from 1 species